rnacentral:rRNA from 1 species
GACGAACGCUGGCGGCGUGCCUAACACAUGCAAGUCGAACGGAAAGGCCCUGCUAUCGUGGGGUGCUCGAGUGGCGAACGGGUGAGUAACACGUGAGUAACCUGCCCUAGACUUUGGGAUAACUUCAAGAAACUGAGGCUAAUACCGGAUAGGAGCCCCUGCUGCAUGGAGGGGGUUGGAACGUCUAGGCGGUUGGGGAUGGAUGGGCGGCUUAACAGCUUGUUGGUGGGGUAGUGGCUUACCAAGGCUUUGACGGGUAGCCGGCCUGAGAGGGGGACCGGCCACAUUGGGACUGAGAUAGGGCGCAGACUCCUACGGGAGGCAACAGGGGGGAAUAUUGCACAAUGAGCCGACGCCUGAUGCAGAGACGCCGCGUGCGUGAUGACGGUCUUCGGGUUGAAAACCGCUGUCGCCUGUGACGAAGCGUGAGUGACGGUAAUGAGUAAAGAAGCACCGGCUAACUACGUG